rnacentral:rRNA from 1 species
UUGACGGUACCCUACUAGAAAGGAGCCGCUAACUUCGUGCCAGAAGCGUCGGUAAUACGGGGGCUCCAAGCGUUAUCCGGUGUUAUUGGGCGUAAAGAGUCGUGUAGGUGGUUGGGUAAGUUAUCUUUCAAAUAUCUUUGCUUAACAAAGAGGAGGGGGAUAAUACUGCUCGACUAGAAUUUUCUCAAGGGAGAUCGGAACUGAGGGAGGAGUAGUGAAAUGCGUUGAUACCCUCGGGAACACCAGUGGCGUAGGCGGAUCUCUGGGAGAAGAUUGGCACUGAGACACGAAAGCUAGGGGAGCGAAGCAGAUUAGAGACCUGCGUAGUCCUAGCCGUAAACGCAUGCUUGCUAGCUGCAUGAAUCUACCUUCGGGUGGUAUCGUGUGGCGAAGGUAACCCGUUAAGCAAGCCGCCUGGAAAGUACGGCCGCAAGGCUGAAAUUCAAAGGAAUUGGCGGGGAGGCACACAACCAGUGGAACAUGUGGUUUAAUUCGAGACUAACCGAAGAACCUCACCAGGGUUUGACAUGUAGCUGCACGUCUUAAGAAAUUAAGACUCUCUUGAAGGUGCUACACAGGUGCUGCAUGGCUGUCGUCAGCUCGUUCCGUGAGGAGUGCCCUUAAGUGGGACAACGAGCGCAACCCCUAUUACAUGUUAGAAAUGUCAUGUAAGACUGCCUUGCCAUUUGGCGGGGAGGAAGGAGGGGCAGACGUCAAGUCCGCAUGGUCCUUAUGCCCUGGGCUACACACAUGUUACAAUGAGUACGGCAAUGAGUCUGUCGCGAGCACGUAAGUGUAAGCUAAUCUCUUAAAUGUACUCUCAGUGGGGAUUGAGGUCUGCAACUCGACCUCAUGAACACGGAAUUGGUAGUAAUCGCGGGUCAGCUAUACCGCGGUGAUACGUUCUUGCCUCUUGCACACACCGCCCGUCAAACCAGCAAAGU